GACGAACGCUGGCGGCGUGCUUAACACAUGCAAGUCGAACGGAAAGGCCCUGCUUUUGUGGGGUGCUCGAGUGGCGAACGGGUGAGUAACACGUGAGUAACCUGCCCUUGACUUUGGGAUAACUUCAGGAAACUGGGGCUAAUACCGGAUAGGAGCUCCUGCUACAUGGUGGGGGUUGGAAAGUUUCGGCGGUUGGGGAUGGACUCGCGGCUUAUCAGCUUGUUGGUGGGGUAGUGGCUUACCAAGGCUUUGACGGGUAGCCGGCCUGAGAGGGUGACCGGCCACAUUGGGACUGAGAUACGGCCCAGACUCCUACGGGAGGCAGCAGUGGGGAAUAUUGCACAAUGGGCGGAAGCCUGAUGCAGCAACGCCGCGUGCGGGAUGACGGCCUUCGGGUUGUAAACCGCUUUCGCCUGUGACGAAGCGUGAGUGACGGUAAUGGGGAAAGAAGCACCGGCUAACUACGU
rnacentral:rRNA from 1 species